ACAGCAGUAGCCACGGUAAUACGGAGGAUCCAAGCGUUAUCCGGAAUUAUUGGGUUUAAAGGGUGCGUAGGCGGCAUGCUAAGUCAGUGGUGAAAUCUCACAGCUUAACUGUGAAACUGCCAUUGAUACUGCAGGUCUUGAGUAAAUUUGAAGUGGCUGGAAUAAGUAGUGUAGCGGUGAAAUGCAUAGAUAUUACUUAGAACACCAAUUGCGAAGGCAGGUCACUAAGAUUUAACUGACGCUGAUGGACGAAAGCGUGGGGAGCGAACAGGAUUAGAUACCCCUGUAGUCCCUGUCUCUUAUAC
rnacentral:rRNA from 1 species